rnacentral:tRNA from 1 species
CCGGCGGUGGACUGGCGGAGCAGAUCGCCGCCGUGGAGACGGCGCUGCGCAGCCAGUGGCGGGACGGGCGGUUCGUGACCGCCGUGCUGGCC